GGGUUGUGAGGUUAAGCGACUAAGCGUACACGGUGGAUGCCCUGGCAGUCAGAGGCGAUGAAGGACGUGCUAAUCUGCGAUAAGCGUCGGUAAGGUGAUAUGAACCGUUAUAACCGGCGAUUUCCGAAUGGGGAAACCCAGUGUGUUUCGACACACUAUCAUUAACUGAAUCCAUAGGUUAAUGAGGCGAACCGGGGGAACUGAAACAUCUAAGUACCCCGAGGAAAAGAAAUCAACCGAGAUUCCCCCAGUAGCGGCGAGCGAACGGGGAGCAGCCCAGAGCCUGAAUCAGUGUGUGUGUUAGUGGAAGCGUCUGGAAAGGCGCGCGAUACAGGGUGACAGCCCCGUACACAAAAAUGCACAUACUGUGAGCUCGAUGAGUAGGGCGGGACACGUGGUAUCCUGUCUGAAUAUGGGGGGACCAUCCUCCAAGGCUAAAUACUCCUGACUGACCGAUAGUGAACCAGUACCGUGAGGGAAAGGCGAAAAGAACCCCGGCGAGGGGAGUGAAAAAGAACCUGAAACCGUGUACGUACAAGCAGUGGGAGCCUCUUUUAUGGGGUGACUGCGUACCUUUUGUAUAAUGGGUCAGCGACUUAUAUUCUGUAGCAAGGUUAACCGAAUAGGGGAGCCGAAGGGAAACCGAGUCUUAACCGGGCGUUAAGUUGCAGGGUAUAGACCCGAAACCCGGUGAUCUAGCCAUGGGCAGGUUGAAGGUUGGGUAACACUAACUGGAGGACCGAACCGACUAAUGUUGAAAAAUUAGCGGAUGACUUGUGGCUGGGGGUGAAAGGCCAAUCAAACCGGGAGAUAGCUGGUUCUCCCCGAAAGCUAUUUAGGUAGCGCCUCGUGAAUUCAUCUCCGGGGGUAGAGCACUGUUUCGGCAAGGGGGUCAUCCCGACUUACCAACCCGAUGCAAACUGCGAAUACCGGAGAAUGUUAUCACGGGAGACACACGGCGGGUGCUAACGUCCGUCGUGAAGAGGGAAACAACCCAGACCGCCAGCUAAGGUCCCAAAGUCAUGGUUAAGUGGGAAACGAUGUGGGAAGGCCCAGACAGCCAGGAUGUUGGCUUAGAAGCAGCCAUCAUUUAAAGAAAGCGUAAUAGCUCACUGGUCGAGUCGGCCUGCGCGGAAGAUGUAACGGGGCUAAACCAUGCACCGAAGCUGCGGCAGCGACACUGUGUGUUGUUGGGUAGGGGAGCGUUCUGUAAGCCUGUGAAGGUGUACUGUGAGGUAUGCUGGAGGUAUCAGAAGUGCGAAUGCUGACAUAAGUAACGAUAAAGCGGGUGAAAAGCCCGCUCGCCGGAAGACCAAGGGUUCCUGUCCAACGUUAAUCGGGGCAGGGUGAGUCGACCCCUAAGGCGAGGCCGAAAGGCGUAGUCGAUGGGAAACAGGUUAAUAUUCCUGUACUUGGUGUUACUGCGAAGGGGGACGGAGAAGGCUAUGUUGGCCGGGCGACGGUUGUCCCGGUUUAAGCGUGUAGGCUGGUUUUCCAGGCAAAUCCGGAAAAUCAAGGCUGAGGCGUGAUGACGAGGCACUACGGUGCUGAAGCAACAAAUGCCCUGCUUCCAGGAAAAGCCUCUAAGCAUCAGGUAACAUCAAAUCGUACCCCAAACCGACACAGGUGGUCAGGUAGAGAAUACCAAGGCGCUUGAGAGAACUCGGGUGAAGGAACUAGGCAAAAUGGUGCCGUAACUUCGGGAGAAGGCACGCUGAUAUGUAGGUGAAGUCCCUCGCGGAUGGAGCUGAAAUCAGUCGAAGAUACCAGCUGGCUGCAACUGUUUAUUAAAAACACAGCACUGUGCAAACACGAAAGUGGACGUAUACGGUGUGACGCCUGCCCGGUGCCGGAAGGUUAAUUGAUGGGGUCAGCGCAAGCGAAGCUCUUGAUCGAAGCCCCGGUAAACGGCGGCCGUAACUAUAACGGUCCUAAGGUAGCGAAAUUCCUUGUCGGGUAAGUUCCGACCUGCACGAAUGGCGUAAUGAUGGCCAGGCUGUCUCCACCCGAGACUCAGUGAAAUUGAACUCGCUGUGAAGAUGCAGUGUACCCGCGGCAAGACGGAAAGACCCCGUGAACCUUUACUAUAGCUUGACACUGAACAUUGAGCCUUGAUGUGUAGGAUAGGUGGGAGGCUUUGAAGUGUGGACGCCAGUCUGCAUGGAGCCGACCUUGAAAUACCACCCUUUAAUGUUUGAUGUUCUAACGUGGACCCGUGAUCCGGGUUGCGGACAGUGUCUGGUGGGUAGUUUGACUGGGGCGGUCUCCUCCUAAAGAGUAACGGAGGAGCACGAAGGUUGGCUAAUCCUGGUCGGACAUCAGGAGGUUAGUGCAAUGGCAUAAGCCAGCUUGACUGCGAGCGUGACGGCGCGAGCAGGUGCGAAAGCAGGUCAUAGUGAUCCGGUGGUUCUGAAUGGAAGGGCCAUCGCUCAACGGAUAAAAGGUACUCCGGGGAUAACAGGCUGAUACCGCCCAAGAGUUCAUAUCGACGGCGGUGUUUGGCACCUCGAUGUCGGCUCAUCACAUCCUGGGGCUGAAGUAGGUCCCAAGGGUAUGGCUGUUCGCCAUUUAAAGUGGUACGCGAGCUGGGUUUAGAACGUCGUGAGACAGUUCGGUCCCUAUCUGCCGUGGGCGCUGGAGAACUGAGGGGGGCUGCUCCUAGUACGAGAGGACCGGAGUGGACGCAUCACUGGUGUUCGGGUUGUCAUGCCAAUGGCACUGCCCGGUAGCUAAAUGCGGAAGAGAUAAGUGCUGAAAGCAUCUAAGCACGAAACUUGCCCCGAGAUGAGUUCUCCCUGACCCUUUAAGGGUCCUGAAGGAACGUUGAAGACGACGACGUUGAUAGGCCGGGUGUGUAAGCGCAGCGAUGCGUUGAGCUAACCGGUACUAAUGAACCGUGAGGCUUAACCUUACAACGCCGAAGGUGUUU
rnacentral:rRNA from 1 species